ACUCAACACUAUUCAAUUAGAAAGGAUGAGUCUUGAUUAGUAAAGUAUGCCAACUUUGUUUUGGAUUCUUGAUCAAUCAGUUAGUCCUAAACCUGUCUAUAUGGAGUUU
rnacentral:sRNA from 1 species